CCUAGCUAUCCGUUGUUUCAAUGUGAGCUAGGUUAUACGCUCCCUUAUGACGGCAAUAUAAUUGUCAUAAAAUACAACUACGACAGCAAUGAAGUAGUGGUGGGUUAACUUUAAGUAGAGGAGCUAUGCUCU
rnacentral:ncRNA from 1 species